UGCUUAUCCAGAAAGACGGAGGGAAUGGGCCCGAUGAUGUCUUAGCAACCUGGACAGACCUAGUCUGGUGGUGCUAACUCCCAUGCCUGAUACAGGCAGAAGAUGAGCG
rnacentral:ncRNA from 2 species